GGCAAAGGGAAGGAGUAAUGGCUGCCAAAUAGUGGUGAGUGAGGUGUAGGAUGUAGGCCUAAUGUUGAUGGGAGGGUGAGGGGGUGAUGCUUGAUGGUGAUGGGAGAAAGAGGGGGUGACGACUAAUGGUGAUGGAAGAUGGAGUGGGAUGAUACAAAAAGGAGGGCCCUCGUCAACUAUAACUGGUUAUCAUCCCCUCCCUCUAACACCACCAUUAGGCAUAAUCCCUCUCCUAUCACCAUUAGGAAUAAACCUCUUCCCUCUCUCUCCACCAGAAGGUACCAGCCCCCUCCUUCUCCCAUGAUUAUUAGCCAUGAAUUCCUCCUCCCAUCACCAUAAGGCAACCCCCUUCAUUUUCCACCACCAGGAUUAGUUUCUGUAUUUCCUUAGUAUCCCACAAAUGGUAGAUAUGAGAUAGAGGGGUGAG